GACUGGAUGGUCUAGUGGUCCAAGGCGCUGCAUUAAGGCCGCAGUCUACUCCGGUGGGCGGGGGUCGAAUCCCACUCCAGUCA
rnacentral:tRNA from 1 species